GACGAACGCUGGCGGCGUGCUUAACACAUGCAAGUCGAACGGAAAGGCCCUGCUUUUGUGGGGUGCUCGAGUGGCGAACGGGUGAGUAACACGUGAGUAACCUGCCCUUGACUUUGGGAUAACUUCAGGAAACUGGGGCUAAUACCGGAUAGGAGCUCCUGCUGCAUGGUGGGGGUUGGAAAGUUUCGGCGGUUGGGGAUGGACUCGCGGCUUAUCAGCUUGUUGGUGGGGUAGUGGCUUACCAAGGCUUUGACGGGUAGCCGGCCUGAGAGGGUGACCGGCCGCGGUGGGAGGGCGAGAGGGCCCAGAGACGGAGGGGAGGCGGCGGGGGGGAGGAGUGCACGCCGGGUGGACGCGGGGUGCACGAGCGCGGCGGGGGGGAGGAGGGGGUGCGGGGGAUACUCCGGUGUCGCGUGGGCGGAGGGGGGAGGGACGGUAAUGGGUCAAGGCGCACCGGGAAACUACGGCGCAGCGGCCGGGUUGAUAAGGGGAAGAGACCACGCCCGAAC
rnacentral:rRNA from 1 species